AGAUGUGCCCAGAUGGGAUUAGCUUGUUGGUGAGGUAACGGCUCACCAAGGCGACGAUCCCUAGCUGGUCUGAGAGGAUGACCAGCCACACUGGAACUGAGACACGGUCCAGACUCCUACGGGAGGCAGCAGUGGGGAAUAUUGCACAAUGGGCGCAAGCCUGAUGCAGCCAUGCCGCGUGUAUGAAGAAGGCCUUCGGGUUGUAAAGUACUUUCAGCGGGGAGGAAGGUGUUGUGGUUAAUAACCGCAGCAAUUGACGUUACCCGCAGAAGAAGCACCGGCUAACUCCGUGCCAGCAGCCGCGGUAAUACGGAGGGUGCAAGCGUUAAUCGGAAUUACUGGGCGUAAAGCGCACGCAGGCGGUCUGUCAAGUCGGAUGUGAAAUCCCCGGGCUCAACCUG
rnacentral:rRNA from 1 species